UACGUAGACGGAAAAUUAAGUCAGUAGUGAAAUCCUGCAGCUUAACUGUAGAACUGUUAUUGAUACUGGUUUUCUUGAAUAUAGUUGAGGUAGGCGGAAUGUGUAAUGUAGCGGUGAAAUGCUUAGAUAUUACACAGAACACCGAUUGCGAAGGCAGCUUACUAAGCUAUGAUUGACGCUGAGGUACGAAAGCGUGGGGAGCGAACAGGAUUAGAUACCCUGGUAGUCA
rnacentral:rRNA from 1 species